rnacentral:rRNA from 1 species
GGGGUGCUAGCUUGCUAGAACCUACACACAGGUGCCGCACGGCUGUCGUCAGCUCGUGUCGUGAGAUGUUGGGUUAAGUCCCGCAACGAGCGCAACCCUCGUCGUUAGUUGCUAACAGUUCGGCUGAGCACUCUAACGAGACUGCCUUCGCAAGAAGGAGGAAGGUGAGGACGACGUCAAGUCAUCAUGGCCCUUACGGCCAGGGCUACACACGUGCUACAAUGGGGCGUACAAAGAGCUGCAAUACCGCGAGGUGGAGCCAAUCUCUUAAAGCGUCUCUCAGUUCGGAUUGUUCUCUGCAACUCGAGAACAUGAAGCUGGAAUCACUAGUAAUCGUAGAUCAGCUAUGCUACGGUGAAUACGUUCCCGGGUCUU